rnacentral:lncRNA from 1 species
GGCCAAAAUGAAAGUAGGGUAGAGAUUAGAGGGAGGCAGGACUUAUUCGGGACAUCGGGAUCGGGUGUUUUUAAGCUCUGGAUUUCGGGAUUGAACUUUACGGGAUGCGGGAAUAUUUUGUUUUAAUUUCGGGAUGUCGGGAUAUGAAUUUCGUUAAAAUACGCACCUCGGGAUUUCAUGUUUUUAAGCCCGGGAUUUCGGGAUCAAGGGCCCUCAGACCACCCCUCAAAUGAGCCUUAGUCA